GAUGAACGCUAGCGGCAGGCCUAACACAUGCAAGUCGAGGGGUAACAUAGAAAAGCUUGCUUUUCUGAUGACGACCGGCGCACGGGUGCGUAACGCGUAUACAACCUACCUUUUAGCGGGGAAUAGCCCAGGGAAACUUGGAUUAAUGCCCCAUAGUAUAUAGACUUCUCCUGAAGUUUAUAUUAAACAUUUAUGGCUAUUAGAUGGGUAUGCGUCCUAUUAGUUAGUUGGUAAGGUAACGGCUUACCAAGGCAGCGAUAGGUAGGGGUCCUGAGAGGGAGAUCCCCACACUGGUACUGAGACACGGACCAGACUCCUACGGGAGGCAGCAGUGAGGAAUAUUGGACAAUGGGCGAGAGCCUGAUCCAGCCAUGCCGCGUGCAGGAAGACUGCCCUAAGGGUUGUAAACUGCUUUUACAGAGGAAGAACCACCCCCACGUGUGGGGGUUUGACGGUACUCUGCGAAUAAGGAUCGGCUAACUCCGUG
rnacentral:rRNA from 1 species